rnacentral:lncRNA from 1 species
CCUCCGCCUUUCCCUCUAGCGAGGACGAGACAAGGCCUCGCGCGCAUGCUCCGAAUCAUCCUCCGAGGGGCGGGGUUGCAGUCGCGGGAGCAGGAUGGGGGGAAGAGAAGGGAAUUCCAACCUGUAGAACUUUGGGGGUCCUAUGGUCGGGUUCUUCCCCACCACUGUGGAUGGUGAAAGGGGUGUGGCCUUUGGCGGCUCCUGGGGGUAUUGGAGUUCGCAAGGUGAGGGAGGGGGUGUCAAGUGUGAGAGAGGUGCAGGACUUCCAAAUUUAGAACCUUGAGGCCCUUUGGGCUCAGGUCCAGGGCACUCCGGCCACCAUGCGCGACAGGACCCAUGAGUUGAGGCAGGGGGAUAACAUCUCAGACGAUGAAGAUGAGGUUCGAGUCGCGUUGGUGGUGCACUCAGGUGCCGCCCGGCUGAGCAGCCCGGACGACGAGUUCUUCCAGAAGCCCUCUCGGUGAUCCUUCCUAGGUGCAGACAAUUCGGCAGACUAUGGCCAAACUGGAGAGUAAAGUCCGGGAGUUGGAGAAACAGCAGGUCACCAUUCUGGCCACGCCUCUUCCCGAGGAGAGCAUGAAGCAGGGCCUGCAGAACCUGCGAGAGGAGAUCAAACAGCUGGGGAGAGAAGUCCGGGCACAGCUAAAAGCCAUAGAGCCCCAGAAGGAAGAAGCUGAUGAGAAUUAUAAUUCAGUCAACACAAGAAUGAAGAAAACCCAGCAUGGGGUCCUGUCCCAGCAGUUUGUGGAGCUCAUCAACAAGUGUAACUCAAUGCAGUCCGAGUACCGAGAGAAGAACGUGGAGCGCAUUCGGCGGCAGCUGAAGAUCAGUGAGUUCGGGUACCUUGUCCUUGGGGUUUGGGGGCCCCGAUCGGUUCUGAACUGGCCUUUCUGUUACAGCCAAUGCUGGAAUGGUGUCUGACGAGGAACUGGAGCAGAUGCUGGACAGUGGGCAGAGUGAGGUGUUUGUGUCUAAUAUACUGAAGGACACACAGGUGACCCGGCAGGCCCUGAAUGAGAUCUCUGCGCGACACAGUGAGAUCCAGCAGUUGGAGCGCAGCAUCCGUGAACUCCAUGAGAUCUUCACUUUUCUAGCUACCGAGGUGGAGAUGCAGGUGCGUGCCUAGAAGCCCUCUGCGACCUUUAGUCCUAGCCUUGGCCUGGAGCUGACGUUCUCCUGGGCUUUUAUGCUCUUCCAAGCUUGGGCAUGCUUCUCGGUGACCUCCACUUCCAUCCUUAGCCAAGUUCUACUCACAGCUACCCUGAUGGCAUCCCACUGAGCUACCAGUGUGUACCUCACCUAGGCAUGCCUUAAUCAUGGCUUCUCUUUCUAUGACGGAAGCCCCCCUAAUGCUGUUAGAGCUCUUGUGGAAGCUGCCCCU